rnacentral:lncRNA from 1 species
CAAGCUGUCGCCCCAGGAGUGGCUGGAGGAACAGGAGAGGAAGCGCCUGGCUCUCAAAAGCGCCAAGGAGGCGGUCGAGGCCUUCAAGGAGAGCGUGCGGUUCCCCCAGCUCGGGGACAAAGAGAGUCAGGGCCCGAAGAAGCCCGCCAAGCUCCUGCAGCUGAUGCGGCUGCGGCAGUUCCCGUCCAGCUCUGCCGGCCACCAGCAGGGCAGCCAGCCCAGCGUGCCUGGCGGGCUGGACCCCAAGAGGUGCAGCUCUGCGCUCCCGGUGCAGGAGGACCCGGACAGCGACGGGGA